AUCUACCAAUAACCGAGGGAUCAAAAAUGCUAUUAACGCGUAGUUUACCUCGAUAACAAUGUCAAUACCAAGUUCAGCCCAUGGAAGCUUAAGAGGAUCCCUGCUAGAGACAACUUUAAUGUUCUUUCCAUCAACACUAAUAGUUUCAUUAUCCACUAUUUUCACAUCAGCCUUGAAUGUUCCCAACAUGGAAUCAUACUUAAGCAAGUGAGAUGCCUGCAUUAACAUAAUAUUUGCAA
rnacentral:misc_RNA from 1 species